GGCUUAAAAAGGCAAACUAAUCGAAAGAUUGGGACACAAAGUCACAGGCCUAAAGUUUUUCAUUGUAUUUGAUGAAAGAUAUGGCGGCUGGGUUGCUAAA
rnacentral:ncRNA from 1 species